CCUACGGGAGGCAGCAGUGGGGAAUUUUCCGCAAUGGGCGAAAGCCUGACGGAGCAACGCCGCGUGAGGGACGAAGGCCUUUGGGCUGUAAACCUCUUUUCUCAAGGAAGAAGAUAUGACGGUACUUGAGGAAUAAGCCACGGCUAAUUCCGUGCCAGCAGCCGCGGUAAUACGGGAGUGGCAAGCGUUAUCCGGAAUUAUUGGGCGUAAAGCGUCCGCAGGCGGCUUUUCAAGUCUGCUGUUAAAACGUGGAGCUUAACUCCAUCAUGGCAGUGGAAACUGAAAGGCUUGAGUAUGGUAGGGGCAGAGGGAAUUCCCGGUGUAGCGGUGAAAUGCGUAGAUAUCGGGAAGAACACCAGUGGCGAAGGCGCUCUGCUGGGCCAUUACUGACGCUCAUGGACGAAAGCCAGGGGAGCGAAAGGGAUUAGAUACCCCUGUAGUCCUGGCUGUAAACGAUGAACACUAGGUGUCGGGGGAAUCGACCCCUUCGGUGUCGUAGCUAACGCGUUAAGUGUUCCGCCUGGGGAGUACGCACGCAAGUGUGAAACUCAAAGGAAUUGACG
rnacentral:rRNA from 1 species